CCCACAGGAACACAGUGAGAUGCAUUAAUGACUGACUGGACGACUACUGAAGGCUCAUUGUACAUGGUGUAACUAAAGUCUGGACACAUAGGAAAUCUCCUUCCAUCCAUUAUCUAUACACCACUUAAUCCUCAUUAGGGUGGCAGCAGGGCUGGAGUCUGUCCCAACUGACUUAGGGUGAAGGCAGGGGACACCCUGGACAGAUCUAUCACAGGGUUACAUAUAGAGACAAACAAUCACAUUCACACCUAAGGACAAUUUAGAAUCACCAGUUAACCUGAGCAAGUUGUUGGACUGUGGGAGGAAGCUGGAGUAACUGGAGAAAACCCAUGCAUGCACAGGGAGAACAUGCAGAAAGAUCCUGGGAGGGUGGGGACACGAACCAAGAUCUUCUCGCUGCAAGGCAAUGGUGCUAAUCACCAAUCCACUGUGCAGCCCUAUAGGACAUCUCCUUAACUAUAUAUUUUUUGCCUCCACAGUUUAAAUAUGGCUGUCAUAUUUAACACACACUACUGUUCAAAAGUUUGGGGUCACCCAGGCAAUUUCAAAUUCAUGCAUAAUUGCAACAAGGGUUUUCUAAUCAUCAAUUAGCCUUCCAAUAUCAUUAGCUAACACAAUGUAGCAUUAGAACACAGGAGUGAUGGUUGCUGGGAAUGUUCCUCUGUACCACUAUGGAGAUAUUCCAUUAAAAACAGCCGUUUCCAGCUACAAUAGUCAUUUACCGCAUUAAAAAUGUCUAGACUGUAUUUCUGAUUAAUUUAAUGUUCUCUUCAUUAAAAAAAAUGCUUUUCUUUCAAAAAUAAGGACAUUUCUAAGUGACCCCAAACUUUUGAACACUAGUGUACUUAGUCGGUCAUGAAAGCUCAAUGAAAAAUCCUUUUUUUUCUCCUAUCAAAUAUAUAUUAAAUCCAAUAUACAGGCUGUCCCUAAAGUCUGGACACGUAGGAAAUCUCAUUAACUAUAAUAUUUUUGCCUCCACAGAUUAAAUAUGGCUUUGUCCAUCCUUCAUAUCCACUGUGAAAUACCAGUUCAACUCUUUCUUCUUUCAAUAAAGACAUUAAAUCUGUGGAGGCAAAAAAUUACAGUUAAUUAGAUUUCCUGUGUCCAGACUUUCGGGACUCCCUGCUGUUUGCGUCCUUGCGCCCCCUUGCGGUCAAGAAAAUGUGUUAUCAGGAUCGAGACAUUGGAUUUAUUAGUGCAGUUUUAAGUAAAACUAAAAGAUACCCAACAAAGCAAGCCACACACUGCAAAAAAACAACAUGCAAAGAGAAUGAUCUCAUCUGGAAAAAAAACCCAAAGUUUUCUUUGCUAAACUGAUUAAAAACCCACCCACAACAAUGAGAGGGUGUGGCUGUCUAUUUGCCAAUCCUCUGAGGGUUCAUUCUGCACAGCCUGACAUCAUGAAGAUCCUGGAGGACCUUCCUCACAGAUGGACUCUUCCUCAGCUUAGCCUGAAGCUGCUGCUGGGGCUGAAGCUAGAUGCACACUCCGCAACUACUGUCCCACAUCACGUCAUGGGGGACCAGCAGACUAAACGGAAGGAAAACAAGUUGGCCGCCCCCGCUGCAGUCAUCACAACCGAGCCGUGUGGAGAGAUAGGACACACAUGUUGAAUGCAACUUACAUUUGGUACUCAUCUAUAGCCUCCACUAAUUGUCCCCACGAGUCAAAGUCUGUGCCUUUCUUAAAACUGGCGUGCCAUUUCUGGACAGUCUUGUUGACAUCAGACAUUUCGGCGAGGCGGUGACUCUCAGGGCAGCAUAGCCGAGGAGGAGGCGCAUCAAGCGGGCUUCGGCGACAGCGGCGUCGUCAACCAGGUUGUCUGUUGUAUGGAGGGG